GCCAAGCAGCAAGACCAUAAACAAAACGUUAGAUGCCAACCAACUCCACGUGACAUGGCUCUUCUCAAAAGAGAUGCUCAACCAUAGAGAAGUUACCUC
rnacentral:lncRNA from 1 species